UGGGGAAUAUUGGACAAUGGGCGCAAGCCUGAUCCAGCCAUGCCGCGUGUGUGAAGAAGGCCUUUUGGUUGUAAAGCACUUUAAGCGAGGAGGAGGCUACUUGGAUUAAUACUCUAGGAUAGUGGACGUUACUCGCAGAAUAAGCACCGGCUAACUCUGUGCCAGCAGCCGCGGUAAUACAGAGGGUGCGAGCGUUAAUCGGAUUUACUGGGCGUAAAGCGUGCGUAGGCGGCUUUUUAAAGUCGGAUGUGAAAUCCCUGAGCUUAACUUUAGGAAUUGCAUUCGAUACUGGGAAGCUAGAGUAUGGGAGAGGAUGGUAGAAUUCCAGGUGUAGCGGUGAAAUGCGUAGAGAUCUGGAGGAAUACCGAUGGCGAAGGCAGCCAUCUGGCCUAAUACUGACGCUGAGGUACGAAAGCAUGGGGAGCAAACAGGAUUAGAUACCCUGGUAGUCCAUGCCGUAAACGAUGUCUACUAGCCGUU
rnacentral:rRNA from 1 species